CUGAGGAGGAGGAAGAUGAGGAUGAGGAGGAUGAGGAUGGAGGCGCUGAGGAUGAGGAAGAUGGGGGCACUGAGGAAGAGGAGGAAGAGGAGGAGGAUGGAGGCAUUGAAGAUGAGGAGGAUGAUGAUGGGGUGCUGAGGACAAGGAUGAAGGCACUGAGGAGGAGGAGGAGGAAGAUGGGGGCGCUGAGGAGGACGAGGAUGAGGAGGAUGAGGAUGGAGGCAGUGAGGAUGAGGAAGAUGGGGGCACCGAGGAAGAUGAGGAGGAGGAGGAAGAUGAGGAUGGAGAUGAUGAGGAUGAGGAUGAUGAUGGGGGCACUGAGGACAAGGAUGAAGGCACUGAGGACGAGGAGGAGGAAGAUGGGGGAGCUGAGGAGGAGGAAGAUGAGGAUGAGGAGGAUGAGGAUGGAGGCACUGAGGAGGAGGAAGAUGGGGGCACUGAGGAAGAGGAGGAGGAAGAUGAGGAUGGAGAUGCUGAGGAUGAUGAUGAUGGGGGCGCUGAGGACAAGGAUGAAGGCACUGAGGAGAAAGAGGAGGAAGAUGAGGAUGAGGAGGGCGAGGCCCC
rnacentral:lncRNA from 1 species